rnacentral:rRNA from 1 species
AGAGUUUGAUCCUGGCUCAGGACGAACGCUGGCGGCGUGCCUAACACAUGCAAGUCGAGCGGGGAACGGAUGGUAGCUUGCUACCGUUUGUUUCUAGCGGCGGACGGGUGAGUAACGCGUGAGCAACCUGCCUUUAUCAGGGGGAUAACGCAUCGAAAGAUGUGCUAAUACCGCGUAAGACCACAGCUUCACAUGGAGCGGGGGUCAAAGGAGCAAUCCGGAUAAAGAUGGGCUCGCGUCCGAUUAGCUAGUUGGUGAGAUAACAGCCCACCAAGGCGACGAUCGGUAGCGACCUGAGAGGUGAUCGCCGACAUUGGAACUGAGAGACGGUCCAGACUCCUACGGGAGGCA